rnacentral:rRNA from 1 species
UACGUAGGGCGCAAGCGUUAUCCGGAAUUAUUGGGCGUAAAGAGCUCGUAGGCGGUCUGUCGCGUCUGCUGUGAAAACUCAGGGCUUAACCCUGAGCUUGCAGUGGGUACGGGCAGACUAGAGUGCGGUAGGGGGAGACUGGAAUUCCUGGUGUAGCGGUGAAAUGCGCAGAUAUCAGGAGGAACACCGGUGGCGAAGGCGGUUCUCUGGGCAUGUCCUGACGCUGAGGAGCGAAAGUGUGGGGGAGCGAACAGG